rnacentral:rRNA from 1 species
UCCGUAGGUGGAUGAUUAAGUCAGAGGUGAAAUCCUGCAGCUCAACUGUAGAAUUGCCUUUGAAACUGGUCAUCUUGAGUUAUUAUGAAGUAGUUAGAAUAUGUAGUGUAGCGGUGAAAUGCAUAGAUAUUACAUAGAAUACCAAUUGCGAAGGCAGAUUACUAAUAAUAUACUGACACUGAGGGACGAAAGCGUGGGGAGCGAACAGGAUUAGAUACCCUGGUAGUCC